AUUAAUAAAAAAUUUAAAGAUAUUAAUUAAUGGUGCUAAUAAACUGUUAUAAUCAACUUGAAUGAUGUUAACAAGUGUUAUGCUUCAUUUGAAUGACUAUUUAAGGAUUGGUAAUCCAUCAUAAAGUAUGAUCCUUUCUUAAUUCUAUUCUUACAAUAAAAAUCUAGAAAUAUUUUUCAUCAAACAAAUGGCAUCCACAACAAAAAGUUCUUUUGGCGUGAUGGUUUUGGUGUUGUUUAUUUGCAUGACAUGUGUUCCUCUUUUAGGUAUGACAUCAUUCCUCUAUUUCUUGGUAUUUUAGAAACAAUUACCAUAAAUCAUCAUAUAGUUGCAACAUCUAUUUUGAAUUUUCAUGUAUACAGCUCUUGGACCGGCAUGUCUUGGACAGUGUGAUGCAAUCAACAUGGACUGCUUACAACUUUGCCAAGAAUUAGCUUUUGUUACGGGUUCAUGCAAAGGAGGGCCUCCAUCUGAGUGUUGUUGUCAUGAUUAAAUCAAUAUUGUUUUAAUAACCACUUGUAAGGAAUAUAUAUUCCAUAAUCCAUCAAAUAAUUGGUUAAUAGUUAUAAACUAUUUCCGUGGAACACUGAUGUUUCGUUGAACUACAUGAUAAUCC
rnacentral:lncRNA from 1 species